rnacentral:tRNA from 1 species
ACCUGACUGGCUCAGUCGGUAGAGCACGUGACUCUUGAUCUCAGGAUUGUGGGUUCGUGCCCCAUGAUGGGUG